rnacentral:rRNA from 1 species
GGUUCAUUCAAAUUUCUUCCCUAUCAACUUUCGAUGCGAGGGUAUUGUCCUCGCAUGGUUACAACGGGUAACGGAGGGUUAGGGCUCGACCCCGGAGAAGGAGCCUGAGAAACGGCUACUACAUCCAAGGAAGGCAGCAGGCGCGCAAAUUACCCAAUCCCGACCGGGGAGGUAGUGACAAUAAAUACUGAUACAGGGCUCUUUUGGGUCUUGUAAUCGGAAUGAGUACAAUUUAAAUCUCUUAACGAGGAACAAUUGGAGGGCAAGUCUGGUGCCAGCAGCCGGGUAAUUCCAGCUCCAAUAGCGUAUAUUAAAGUUGGUGUGGUUAAAAAGCUCGUAGUUG